UACAGAGGGUGCGAGCGUUAAUCGGAAUUACUGGGCGUAAAGCGUGCGUAGGCGGUUAUUUAAGUCGGAUGUGAAAGCCCCGGGCUCAACCUGGGAAUUGCAUUCGAGACUGAAUAGCUAGGGUACGGUAGAGGGAAGUGGAAUUUCCGGUGUAGCGGUGAAAUGCGUAGAUAUCGGAAGGAACAUCAGUGGCGAAAGCGACUUCCUGGACCAGUACCGACGUUCAGGCACGAAAGCGUGGGGAGCAAACAGG
rnacentral:rRNA from 1 species